rnacentral:tRNA from 1 species
AGCGGGUGUAGUUUAGUGGUAAAACUACAGCCUUCCAAGCUGUUGUCGCGAGUUCGAUUCUCGUCAUCCGCUU